UGUUACUAUUACAAAACCAACUACUGUAGGACAAAAAAUAAAUAUACAAAAGUAGCCAGAGAAAAAGCACAAGAAACACAUAAUUGUGAGACACAUAUGCUCACACUCACAGAAAUCCCAUAAAAAUACAGAACCAGAAAAGAAUAAUGUUAGGAUGGAGAAUUGCUUCAUGUUAAUAUCUAGAUGGAUCAGAUUGGUGGCAUUAUGAAAGACAUUGAUGUAGAAAUAAAUUUGAAAGCAUCCUGAGGAUUUCACACUGGAGGUGGCCAAUAAUUUAUGGAUAUGGAUACAGACUACAAGAUCAUCCACUGAGUAAGAGCUUUCAUUCUUAUGGAUGUGAGGCACGCGAUACUAUUCUUCCAUAUAAAGGAGGAGGAUUUUCUGGUUUAGCCUAGAGAGUUGGAUCUGGACAAGCACUGGAGACAAAAGCAGCAGAGAGCUGAUUUCAAGUUGCCAACAAUAUAAGAGCUGACACCUAGAAGCCAUCAAAAAGAAAGGUA